AGGAAAGGAAAACUGUCAUUGUACUGCCAGCACUCUCCUUCCGUGCCUCUCGCAAAACUUGCUCCUUUCUUCUGACCUCUAAACUAGUUAUUUCAGAAGUCUUGAUUCCUAGAUGAGAGAAGAAUGCAAAGGCCUCUCUGUCUCAACUUUUCCAACUCCAGAAAGCACAUGUAUUUCACAUGUUCUAAGAAACUCUCAAAAAGAACAAGUAAUUUCAAGAAAUGCCUGGAAUUACCAUUUGAUGGGUUAUGGUACCCAAUGGGACUUGGAUAGUUCUUAUAGCUGGUUCUUGUAGCCAAAGUACCCUCCACUGAGAGUAACUCAGUGAUGUAGGACUUUCCGUUCAGAGGAAAAUCUAUGUUGUGGUCACAGAGUUGUGACAACCUCCACUCAUAAGUUAGAAAAAGAAUCAUUCACAAGCAUUGUAAACUCAGAUUUUAAAAAAAAAUACUAGGGAAAUAAGAUCCUUAAUGUUUUCUAAAAUUGCUUGUUUUUCCUCUCUUAGUCUUAUUUUUAUACUCUCUUAAUCUAAUCUUACUUCUGAUGUAAUACUGUCUUAUCUCUCUUUCCUCCUGCCAGAUUGGAUGAACUGUUUCAUAGUGGUUAAGGUGGGAGGAUACUGACUGCUUUGUUUUUGUUUUGUUUUUUUUAAAUUUCUUGUCUAUGCUAGUCUAUGUUAGAUGAUUUUAGACAAGACAUUUAAUUAUUCUAAGCUCAGCUUCCUUAUCUGUAAAAUGAAGACAGUAAUAACGGUACCAAUUUUAUAAGAACGUUGUGAAGAUUAAAUAAGGUAGUGGAUAUAAAGUACUGAGCACAGUGUCCAGACCAUAUCCAAGUACUCUCAAUGCUAGUUCUUGUUUCUAAAUGUGAGUUCUUUUUUUGUGCUAAAAAAUUAUGCUACUUUUUGCCUUGUUUAGUUGAAUUGUAUAAGUACAUUUACCUAAUUUCAUUCCCUAUCAUUUUGCCCUCCUAAAUGUUUAAAAUUAUUUCUGAACAUCUUUAAAAAAUCACAAAUUUAAGAAGCACAUUUUAAAAUGAGAGGAUGCCCAAGUUCACAAUGAUAUUCAUGUAAAUAGCUCUGGUUUCUUGAGGGCAAUAUUGUUCUUUACUGCUGCAUCCCCCUAGCACCUGAAACAGUGAAUGCCUGUCACAUAAUUGGUGCUGGAAAGGUAUUUGUUGAAUGAAUAAAAUGAGUUGGGGACAAUUUAGUAACAAUGUACUACUCUGGCUACUGAAACCAGAGAAACAUCAAGUAGGGCAAACAGACAUGUAAAGCAAUCACAUUUGAUAGUGAAAAUUUUAUGCCCUGGGAACUAUGGGAGCAAUGUGGAUACCGUUUAUGGCUUCAUCACCAUGACUUGUUAUCCAACUCAUUUCCGGCCAAUUCAACCGGAUGACCUUAUUUUCAAGAACUUCUUUUAUGGCUAGACUUGUGGCAUAUAUCAUUCCAUUCUGUUUCCUCAGAGAUAAUGUGUUUGCCUCUGAUACACCAAAAAUGAACUGGAACACUCUAUUAUUAAUCUUAUAUGAAAAACACAGUUUGGUAUGAACUGUGCAUAAGGAAAAGAUCUUAUUUUGUUUAUAUAUAUAUAUAUAUAUUUUUUUUUUUUCCAAAGCCAAUUUCACUCCCUCUCAGGCUCUAAUCAGAUUAGAAAUUUGGUAAUUAAAUUAGAAAAUAAAUUCUAGUGGUACAUAAAACACUUAAAAACAUGAUUGCUUAAACCUGGUUCUUAGUUGAUAACUGACCCAUAAAGACUAGUCCUUUAAUGUUAACCAUAAACAAAGAACCUAUUUGGUCUCUGAAAAGUUUAUACUUUCUUUUCCAUUGAUUACAUGUCUUUGUUCUUUCCUCUUGAUCUUUCUCUUCUAAAUAGCACAAAUCUUUAAAGGGAGGAUUGUGACAAUUAAAGAAAGGCUAGAAUAGAAGAAUAGAAGACAACCAUGACUCAAACAUGGGAAAGGAUUGUCAUAGCCACAUUGUUCUUCAUAGCUAAAUUUUCCUGCCACUUGUGAUAUGUACAAAUGGAUCACUUUUAGCGCCAGAAGCACUGAACAGGCUGAAUAUUUUGCAAAAUGUUUCCCAAAUUUUUGUUAUGUUUAUGCCACCUUGGUGGUAUUUGCCAUGCCCUGUGUACUAUUAUGUACCUACAUAGUUUCCUUAACUCUGUUUUAAACUGUCUACGUAUCUUAGAUUUAACCUAAACAAUAGUAUUGGGAAAAACAAGCACUCGUUUUUAUAUAUUUUAUUUUAUAUUAAAAUAAGUACACAAUAUGAAAAUGAGUAUCUGUCCAUGUGCUACCCCUCAAAUAUUUCAUUUCCCAGGGGAACAUGUACCAUACUUUAGGAAAUAUUACUUAGUGCUAUCAAGAGUAGAGACAUCCUCUCCUGCAAGAUGAAUAAAACGAUGCCUCCUGUUAAUAUAUCCAUGGAAAAAAACUGUUGUAGUUACAGUUCCUCAAGAUUUGUUUGCCUCAUGUUCAGAAUGCUUGGUGAUUGUUUCCAUUCUGUAGUCUAAUCAGAAAUACAAAGGAUGCUUUUGCAUCAGAAGCUUCUGCAUUUAUGCUGCCAGUGAGCACAUGAAGAACUUCCCUCGGUCCCACCCAGGGAAGUCAUGGCUGGGAUUUGCAAUAGCCCUAUUUACAGUGCUGUCCACUAACAGAAAUGCCCAACUGAAGGCCUAAGCUUGCAACUAAUGAUUGACCAGGAAUUUCAAUAGCUCUUUUAUUGAUUCUGGCAUUGGAAAGAAUAACGUAGUUAUUUAGUAUCUGAAGAGUAAAUCUUCACUCCCUUUUAGUCUUGCGUUUGGAAGAGUGUUGGGGAAAUAGUAAGCACAUUUCCUCUCAAGAGUUGCAUUCCCCUUGGAGAAUUUACAUUCCUUCCUGACAUCCUUCAAAAAGCCAUAAAAACAUAUCAGUUCAAAGAGGGAAAGGAGAGUUAAUAUUUAAAGGAGCUGCUAGGAAUCUAUUACUCUCAGUUUAAUAACAGCUACCAUUUCUGGAGUGUCUGUGAUAUACCCAGGGCUAUGCUAAUUAAUGUGCUUGCAUUAUCUCAUCUAUAACAAUGGUCACAACAACAAAAUAUAGGACCUUUUAUUACCAUCAUUUCACAGAGGAAGAAACAAACUUAGAGAAGCUGCAGGAAGGACUCAAAGCCAGUGUUUUCUGAACCCAGACCUGAAGUUUUUAACCGUUACAUAUACAUAAACCCUCAGUCUUUUUAAAGCAUCUGCUCAUUUAAAUCCCAAAUUAAUUAUCUUCGUGAUUUUAGUGUACAUUUCCUUAUUUGCUAAUCUAAUAAGAAGCAUAGAACUUGAUAGCCAAUUAGACUAAAGAAGUCAUAAGAAUUAAAAAAGGAAGUUAUCCCCCAAAAAGUUAAUAAUUACAGUACACUUACUGUAUGUCAAGUGCUUUACGUACAUUAUCAAAUUUAACCCUUAAUACAAUCAUAUCAUACGAAUUUUACAGAUGAAGAGACUGAAGCAUUCGAAAUGGACUUGCCUAAGAUUAUAUAGAAGGGACAUUUUAACCAGGCCAUUUGACUCAAGGGCCCAAACAUCUUAAUUAACGUGCUAAGGAAAGCGCUCUAAAAUUUGUGACAAAAAAAACCAUGUUUACGGUACUUACAUGUAGGACUGUAACCAGCUGUAUCCUCAUCUUCACUGGGUGCAAAGGACAAGAUUCAGAGUUCUCAGCCUAUCAUCCUGGGUAGGCAGCUUAGUAUCACCUGGGAUCUUGUUUGUAAUGCAAAAUCUGGGCCCCACCCAGAUCUCCUGAAUCAGAAACCUGAGUUUGGGUCUUAGCUCCUUUUGACAGGCCUUGCAGGAAAUUCUGACGCAGGCUCAAGUUAGAGAAUUACUGGUUUAAUUCUUUACUCCCUAACCCUAGCAGCACCUUAGGAUCAGUUGGGAGUUCUGUAUAAAAGUUGCCUGGGCUUGCCUCCAGAGAUUCUAAUUCAGUUGAUCUGAGAUGUAGCCUAAAUGCUGGUAGUUGUAAAAAUGGAUCAGGUGCUUCUAAUGUGUUGCCAUGGUUGAGAACCAAUGGCUUAAUUGAAAGAGCUAACCAAGAAGAAGUGCUGUAAAAAGAGCUGAAUUGGUUUAGUACCAAGAAAUAAGGAGUAAACUUACUUGGAUAUGCCUGAUAUUUUUCCAGAAAGUUCUUUACUUCUAGGAUUAUAAAACAAUUCCCUUAGUGCCUUUAAAGUUUCGUAUAUUUAAUUUCUGGAGCAUUUAAGGACACCAAGAUUACUGCAUAUUAAAUAAACCAGACUCAAGAAACCUAAUAAACUGGACCUCCAUAGCUCACAUUGCUUUGUUGUUCUUGAAGAAAUUUAUCUACUAAAUUUAUAUUUGUAAAGCCUUAAAGAAUAAAAUACUUGUGUCUUGAUCACA